rnacentral:lncRNA from 1 species
UCGUGUGACUCAAUGCUUUGGCUCAAUUGGUGGCCAUGUUUGGUAUCUUGGAGUUGCGAAACCUUCUCUGCUGGAUCCUGACCAAGUUGAGGGUGACAGGGGAUCAAAUGUUGUACAAUCUCAUGAUGGUCAUUUCUACAUGCCACCUGCAAUAGAAGAUGUACGUGUUUUCAGAUUUUCAGGUCGGAAGUUUGUGAAGUUGAAUAUGGGUACAUGGCAUGCUGGACCGUUAUUUGAUCCACAAAUGAAGAUGGACUUUUACAACCUUGAACUCAGCAAUACUCAUGUGAGUUUUUCUAUCCCUAUUUUCUCACUACCUCUGUACCUCAAUGCGGUUUGCUCUGUGAAGCUGUUUAUACAUCAAAAUAUGACAUCUUUCUUUCGUAUAUAUGUAAUAAUCAAAUGUCAAUGAACUUCCUGACUUAGCAUCACUCUGUUUGCAGCAUGUAGAGCAGACAACGCAUUAUUUCAGGAAGGAUUGCGGAGAAGUAAAAAACGGAAAAGUGAUGUUCACCUUUGUUGAGUAGUUCAUCUAGUUCUCAAACAAAGCAAGUAUGCAGCAUCACUUCUGCAACCUGAAAAUAACUACGGCUGUAAUACCAUGUUAAGUGAUCAGUUAUCCUAAACCUCAAAGUGUUAGGAGGUGGGCAUAUCAGGAUCAUACUGGAUCAACGUUUUCAUUAAAAUCUUGUACUGUAUUUUUUUAAUUCUUGCUACACCCUUUCUAAACCACUGCACUACACUUGUAUAUUCUAUUCUUGUAAUACGUAUUCUAAGUGCUUUGCAAUCUUGUGAUCUUGGAAUACUUGUUUAGUGACUAAUUGUGAUUUCUUUAAUCAUAACUUAAUUAGCAUGUUGUGAAUAAACAAUGCUAUCAUAACAAUAAUCGAUCUACACCAGCUAAACCAAGAUCUAGUGUUACAUAGUAUCCACUUUUGGUCAACUCAUUGCAUACUUUGUGGACAGAGGAAAAUGGCGAGUUCUGGUAAAACUGUGGAAGAAAUAAAAUUGGAAACAAUUGAAGGAACCGCGGAGAGUUUCAAAGAAUUUGGCCAGGUUAUUGGUCCUACUCCGGAUGAUGAAGACUUUGGACCGCAAGAUGCUCAGCUUGUUCUCAGCGAAGGAAUCCCCAGGUCCCUCCUCUUUCUCCCUUCUUAGAGUUAGAGUUCUUGUCGAAUCUUGGUGAUGUGAUAGUUUUUAAACUGAUGGCAUCCUUAGAAUAUAAUGAGUUAGCAACAUAGCAUUGUUAUUUUUUCUCAAUUAGAAGGAUAUAUGCUAUGGAAUGUCGUAGAUGAUUAUACCUGGAAUAAGACUUCUGGUAAUAGAAUUUUAGUUAAUGCCUUUUAUUGUAAGAAUUCUUGUUUAGUUAUGAAACAUUAAACACCAUGAUCCCCUAAAAGGAAAUCAAGAAGCAUAGAAACUUUAGAAAAGUACGAGAUCUGAUGUGUAUAGGACACGAGUCAAUCACAACGUUGGCCAAGAGUUGGACUUGGGGUUUUCUGCUUAUUCUGAUAAUGCAUUAUUUUUGCAUGAUAGCAGGUUGUAUAUUAUGACUCUUGAUUGUCGUUCACUCAAAUUUUCUUCCAUAACGCAUCAUGCACGCGUGACUCAAUGCCUUGGCUCGAUUGGUGGCCACGUUUGGUAUCUUGGAGUCGCGAAGCCUUCUCUGGUGGAGCCUGACCAAGUUGAGGCUGACAAGGGAUCAAAUGCUGUACAAUCUCAUGAUGGUCAUUUCUACAUACCACCUGCAAUUGAAGAUGUACGUGUUUUCCGAUUUUCAGGUCCAAAGUUUGUGAAGUUGAAUAUGGGUACAUGGCAUGCUGGGCCGUUAUUCAAUCCACAAAUCAAGAUGGACUUUUACAACCUGGAACUCAG